rnacentral:rRNA from 1 species
UACGGAGGAUGCAAGCGUUAUCCGGAAUUAUUGGGCGUAAAGCGUCCGCAGGUGGUUUUACAAGUCUGCUGUCAAAGCGUGGAGCUUAACUCCAUAAAGGCAGUGGAAACUGUGAGACUAGAGUUCGGUAGGGGUUACGGGAAUUCCCAGUGUAGCGGUGAAAUGCGUAGAUAUUGGGAAGAACACCAGCGGCGAAAGCGCGUAACUGGGCCUGAACUGACACUGAGGGACGAAAGCUAGGGGAGCGAACGGG